rnacentral:rRNA from 1 species
CCAGUCACCGAAGCUGCGGAUAUCCGUAAGGAUAUGGUAGGAGAGCGUUCUGUAAGCCUGCGAAGGUGUCUUGUAAAGGAUGCUGGAGGUAUCAGAAGUGCGAAUGCUGACAUGAGUAGCGAUAAUGAGGGUGAAAAGCCCUCACGCCGUAAGCCCAAGGUUUCCUGUUCAACGUUCAUCGGAGCAGGGUGAGUCGGCCCCUAAGGCGAGGCAGAGAUGCGUAGCUGAUGGGAAGCAGGUUAAUAUUCCUGCACCGUCGUAUGAUGCGA